rnacentral:rRNA from 1 species
UACGAACUGUGCGAACGUUAUUCGGAAUCACUGGGCUUACAGGGUGCGUAGGCGGCUUGUUAAGUAGGGUGUGAAAGCCCCCGGCUCAACCGGGGAAUUGCGCCCUAAACUGGCGAGCUGGAGUGAGAUAGGGGUGUGUGGAACUUCCGGUGGAGCGGUGAAAUGUGUUGAUAUCGGAAGGAACGCCGGUGGCGAAAGCGACACACUGGAUCUUGUCUGACGCUGAGGCACGAAAGCCAGGGGGAGCGAACGGG